CGAACGCUGGCGGCGUGCUUAACACAUGCAAGUCGAACGGAAAGGCCCUGCUUGCAGGGUACUCGAGUGGCGAACGGGUGAGUAACACGUGGGUGAUCUGCCCUGCACUUCGGGAUAAGCCUGGGAAACUGGGUCUAAUACCGGAUAGGAGCCAUUUUUAGUGUGAUGGUUGGAAAGUUUUUUCGGUGUAGGAUGAGCUCGCGGCCUAUCAGCUUGUUGGUGGGGUAAUGGCCUACCAAGGCGGCGACGGGUAGCCGGCCUGAGAGGGUGGACGGCCACAGUGGGACUGAGAGACGGCCCAGACGCCUACGGGAGGCAGCAGGGGGGAAUAUUGCACAAGGGGCGCAAGCCGGAUGCAGCGACGCCGCGUGGGGGAGGACGGCCUUCGGGUUGUAAACGCCUUUCGCUAGGGACGAAGCUUUUUGUGACGGUACCUAGAUAAGAAGCACCGGCUAACUACGUG
rnacentral:rRNA from 1 species